rnacentral:rRNA from 1 species
AUACGGAGGGUGCAAGCGUUACUCGGAAUCACUGGGCGUAAAGGAUGCGUAGGCUGGAUGUCAAGUUGGAAGUGAAAUCCUGUGGCUUAACCAUAGAACUGCUUCCAAAACUGGCAACCUAGAGUGAGGGAGAGGCAGAUGGAAUUAGUGGUGUAGGGGUAAAAUCCGUAGAUAUCACUAGGAAUACCGAUUGCGAAGGCGAUCUGCUAGAACUCUACUGACGCUAAGGCAUGAAAGAGUGGAGCAAACAGGAUUAGAUACCCCAGUAGUCC